CCUACGGGAGGCAGCAGUGGGGAAUAUUGCGCAAUGGGCGAAAGCCUGACGCAGCGACGCCGCGUGAGGGAUGAAGGUCUUCGGAUCGUAAACCUCUGUCAGCAGGGAAGAACGGUCACUGUGCUAAUCAGCAGUGAAUUGACGGUACCUGCAAAGGCAGCACCGGCUAACUCCGUGCCAGCAGCCGCGGUAAUACGGAGGGUGCGAGCGUUAAUCGGAAUUACUGGGCGUAAAGCGCUCGUCGGCGGUAUGUCAAGUCAAGGGUGAAAUCCCCGCGCUCAACGUGGGAACUGCCUUUGAAACUGGUAAACUGGAGUGUGUGAGAGGAUAGUGGAAUUCCAGGUGUAGGAGUGAAAGCCGUAGAUAUCUGGAGGAACAUCAGUGGCGAAGGCGACUAUCUGGCACAUAACUGACGCUGAGGAGCGAAAGCGUGGGUAGCAAACAGGAUUAGAUACCCCAGUAGUC
rnacentral:rRNA from 1 species